rnacentral:rRNA from 1 species
GGGAACGUACCUUUCGGUUCGGAAUAAUUCAGGGAAACUUGGACUAAUACCGGAUACGCCCUUCGGGGGAAAGAUUUAUCGCCGAUAGAUCGGCCCGCGUCUGAUUAGCUAGUUGGUGAGGUAAUGGCUCACCAAGGCGACGAUCAGUAGCUGGUCUGAGAGGAUGAUCAGCCACAUUGGGACUGAGACACGGCCCAAACUCCUACGGGAGGCAGCAGUGGGGAAUAUUGGACAAUGGGCGCAAGCCUGAUCCAGCCAUGCCGCGUGAGUGAUGAAGGCCUUAGGGUUGCAAAGCUCUUUUGUCCGGGAAGAUAAUGACUGUACCGGAAGAAUAAGCCCCGGCUAACUUCGUGCCAGCAGCCGCGGUAAUACGAAGGGGGCUAGCGUUGCUCGGAAUCACUGGGCGUAAAGGGCGCGUAGGCGGACUUUUAAGUCGGGGGUGAAAGCCCAGGGCUCAACCCUGGAAUUGCCUUCGAUACUGGGAGUCUUGAGUUCGGAAGAGGUUGGUGGAACUGCGAGU